rnacentral:rRNA from 1 species
AAAGCUUGCUUUCUUUGCUGGCGACCGGCGCACGGGUGAGUAACACGUAUCCAACCUGCCCUUUACUCGGGGAUAGCCUUUCGAAAGAAAGAUUAAUACCCGAUGGCAUAAUGAUUCCGCAUGGUUUCAUUAUUAAAGGAUUCCGGUAAAGGAUGGGGAUGCGUUCCAUUAGGUUGUUGGUGAGGUAACGGCUCACCAAGCCUUCGAUGGAUAGGGGUUCUGAGAGGAAGGUCCCCCACAUUGGAACUGAGACACGGUCCAAACUCCUACGGGAGGCAGCAGUGAGGAAUAUUGGUCAAUGGGCGUUAGCCUGAACCAGCCAAGUAGCGUGAAGGAUGAAGGCUCUAUGGGUCGUAAACUUCUUUUAUAUAAGAAUAAAGUGCAGUAUGUAUACUGUUUUGUAUGUAUUAUAUGAAUAAGGAUCGGCUAACUCCGUGCCAGCAGCCGCGGUAAUACGGAGGAUCCGAGCGUUAUCCGGAUUUAUUGGGUUUAAAGGGAGCGUAGGUGGACUGGUAAGUCAGUUGUGAAAGUUUGCGGCUCAACCGUAAAAUUGCAG